AUAUUGGUUGGGGACUGAGUGUUGGAACUUGUUACUAAGUGUAUUUUUUUUAAUUAAAUGGGCUCAGAGGCUUGUAUAAUAUGCCCAUGUCUUCUAAAUUAAGAUAUAAUAAUAAUACUAGUAAUGUAUGGCCAGAUUCUCAGCUGGUGUAAAUUAGCAUAGCUUCAGAUUUACACCCCCUGAGACUCAUAAUAUGCAAACAUAAUUUUUAAACUAACUUCUGGCUUCCAUUUGGGAACCCAGGUGAAGACAGAGAACGUUGGAAUGGUGUGGGAGUAGCAAUGAGACACCAUAUGGGCCCUCAUUAGCAUGGUGUCAUGGAUUUUGAAUGACUUUCUUACAUUUUUGUCAUGUGCCACUUGAUAUAGCUGUUGAGAGGUGUGAGCCUUAGACUCUCUUAAAUUACAUCAGCAAGCAAUUUCCAUAAUUCCACAACUUUUAUUAAUCCUUUUCUGCUCUGGAAGGAAUUGCAUUUGUGUAUAAUAUAUUCUGGGUUUAGCACCAAAUUGAGAUCUCAGAUUGUGAUUCAUCAUAAUGACAUUUUAGCUUUAUAAAAGAGGGCUGUCCACCAGGGUCCAUGAUACAUAAAUAGCACUGGAAGCUUACCGGAUUUGUAGGAAUGAUACAUCAAAGAAAGGAGUAACACCGAGCGGCUACUGUUGGUUCUGAUGGACAUUGAUUUCUGCACAAGUUUUCAAGCCACCCUUUCCCUGCACACGAAGUUGAACACUGUCUUUUCAUCUUCAGUUGCCAUUCUUUGGUCUGGAUUGGAGAUUUCUGUCUCCUUACCCCUAUGGAGCACCUUACUACAAAGACCCAAAUCUUCAGGCUUUUAUUGAGGCUUUGCUUAGGCAUGAGGAUUUAGGCCUAUAAGCAAAGUUUCAUUCUGAGUUCACUCAAAAACUGUUUCCACUGUAAAUGUGUGUGUAUUCUGUAAUUGUCAAUCAACUUAAAAUAGAUUUGAUGUUAAUGUGAAGAAAGGCAAAAAUGAUUCAGUUAAUAUAUUAUAUCUAUGUUAUUCACACACACUGAACAAUAUGAUGCACAAUUUCUCGUUUUCCUAUGCAUUUUACGCAGAUAAUCUGGUUUGAGAUUUCCUUUAGACUCCUAAAAAGUAAGGUUAUGAUUUCAAUUUGUUCCUUUUUUUAUUAAAGCCUCAGUACCUCUUGGGCCUGAUUUCACCUUUCCACCCUCUUCUAAAAUCCUGUCCCUUUGGUAUUUUUAAAGUGCCCCCUCCUAUGUCAGAUAAUAUAGACAUUUAAAGGUGAUCGUUGUGGACAUAAUGAUUUCCUCCUACCCCUUAGCUUUAAGUGGGGAAGGACUACCAGUACUGUUUUCAAUUUUUACUUUUGAUGUAUUGUC
rnacentral:lncRNA from 1 species